rnacentral:RNase_P_RNA from 6 species
GCAGUAGAUCGAUUCAUCGCUCUGGGAAACCAGGGAGGAAAGUCCGGGCAACACAGGGCACCAAACUCCGGAAAGCGGAGAUAUCCGUGAGGGUAUAGGUUACAAAGAAGAAAAUAACCGCCCCGAUUCGUCGGGGUAAGGGUGAGAAGGUGGAGUAAGAGCCCACCAGGCCGGAUGGCAACAUUCGGUGCUGUUUGUCUUUUGGGUUGCAAGACCAUGUAUACCGGCAAUUAAGAACUGCUCGUUCGAUGUCGGGGGGUAGGUCGCUUAGAUAAAUGAUGAAUAAUGCAAUUCGUUGCAUCACAGAACCCGGCUUACAGAUCUACUGUUUUU